CCCCCACGUCGCGGUUAGACGAAGAAUCUAAAUGAAAUAAUUUAUUAUUCAAUUAACAGUAGAUAAGUUAGAGUAAAUUUAACUUCUUUCUUAGGUGAAAUUUAUAUAAGGGGAAAAAAUAUCUUUAUUUAUUUGUAGGGAUUGUUAAGUGAAGACUCAAAACCAGGAUUAGAUACCCUGUUAUUCUUUAUUAUAUUUAAUAGGGUAGUAAAAGUUAUUCUUCAAACCCAAAGAUUUUGGCGGCAUUCUAACCAAACAGAGGAGCUUGUCUUAUAAUCGAUAAUCCCCGUUUUAUCUUACCUUUAUUUGUUUAGCUUGUAUACCUCCGUUGUCAGAUUACUCUAAAAGGAUGUUUUCUAGAAAAAUUAUUUUUUUACUUCAGGUCAAGGUGCAGUUUAUGUAAAGGGAAUGGUGAGCUACAAUUCUAAUAAGAACACGGAUUUUAAUUUAAAUUUUGAUUGAAGGUGGAUUUGUUAGUAAAUUUAUUUUAGGAAAAUAAAUCGAAUAAGGCAAUAGAAUGUGUACAUAUCGSCCGUCACUCUCCUUUUAAGAGGAGAUAAGUCGUAACAAAGUAGAUGUAUGGAAAAGGGGCAUAAA
rnacentral:rRNA from 1 species